GGUUCAUCAAAAUUUAUGGAAAAGAAAUUACGAUUCACUGGGAUUUUAAGUGAUAAGACAGAAGAAAAACCUGGUUUCUCCAAGACAUUGAAACUUCUUUUGCUCUUGCUAUAUCGAUUGGANNNNNNNNNNNNUCUGAUUCAUUCGUAUGGAUGGUGCUUUAUUAUGCUGCAGAUUUCUUUAACUGGAACAGGGUAAAGCUACGAUACUGUGAUGGGGCAUCUUUUAGUGGGGACAGUAAGAAUGAGGCUGCUCAGCUUUAUUUUCGAG
rnacentral:misc_RNA from 1 species